rnacentral:rRNA from 1 species
UCCGUAGGCGGGCAAUUAAGUCAGAGGUGAAAUCCCUCAGCUCAACUGUGGAACUGCCUUUGAUACUGGUUGUCUUGAGUUAUAGUGAAGUAGAUAGAAUAUGUAGUGUAGCGGUGAAAUGCAUAGAUAUUACAUAGAAUACCGAUUGCGAAGGCAGUCUACUAACUGUAUACUGACGCUAAUGGACGAAAGCGUGGGGAGCGAACAGGAUUAGAUACCCUGGUAGUCC